rnacentral:rRNA from 1 species
AUCAAUAAGCGGAGGAAAAGAAACCAACAGGGAUUGCCCCAGUAACGGCGAGUGAAGCGGCAACAGCUCAAAUUUGAAAUCUGGCCCCUCGGGGUCCGAGUUGUAAUUUGUAGAGGAUGCUUUUGGUGAGGUGCCGCCCGAGUUCCCUGGAACGGGACGCCACAGAGGGUGAGAGCCCCGUCUGGCUGGCCGCCGAGCCUCUGUAAAGCUCCUUCGACGAGUCGAGUAGUUUGGGAAUGCUGCUCAAAAUGGGAGGUAUAUGUCUUCUAAAGCUAAAUAUUGGCCAGAGACCGAUAGCGCACAAGUAGAGUGAUCGAAAGAUGAAAAGCACCUUGAAAAGAGGGUUAAAUAGUACGUGAAAUUGUUGAAAGGGAAGCGCUUGUGACCAGACUUGGGCGCGGCGGAUCAUCCGGGGUUCUCUCCGGUGCACUUCGCCGCGUCUGGGCCAGCAUCAGUUCGUCGCGGGGGAAAAAGGCUUCGGGAACGUGGCUCCUCCGGGAGUGUUAUAGCCCGUUGCAUAAUACCCUGCGGUGGACUGAGGACCGCGCAUCUGCAAGGAUGCUGGCGUAAUGGUCACCAGCGACCCGUCUUGAAACACGGACCAAGGAGUCGUCUUCGUAUGCGAGUGUUCGGGUGUCAAACCCCUACGCGUAAUGAAAGUGAACGCAGGUGAGAGCUUCGGCGCAUCAUCGACCGAUCCUGAUGUUCUCGGAUGGAUUUGAGUAAGAGCAUACGGGGCCGGACCCGAAAGAAGGUGAACUAUGCCUGUAUAGGGUGAAGCCAGAGGAAACUCUGGUGGAGGCUCGCAGCGGUUCUGACGUGCAAAUCGAUCGUCAAAUAUGGGGAUGGGGGCGAAAGACUAAUCGAACCUUCUAGUAGCUGGUUU